UCAAGAAGAAAAAGAUGGGCCUUGACCGGUUAACCUACUACCAAGCAGGUAAUCGAUGAACCAAAGGACUCGGUCCUCGUCUAUUAAAAAACUCUCUAUCUCUCUCUCUCUCUCUCCCUCUCUGUCUCUCUACAUGAGCAGUUCUCUAUGGCAAGCUAGAGUUCUCUGUACCAAAGCGAAAAACCAAGACAAAUCUCCCCCGCCCUCCCUGCACGAGCAUCUCUCCCUCUACGUGAUCAGGGAGGAGUUCUCUCUCUAAAAACUAGGGUAAAAGAGAAAGAAAACAUCAGGGCACAGGAGGCGUGGAAGUUCUCUCUUUACAAGAGCAACUCUCUCUCUAUGGAUGUACAAUAGCAAUGCAAGGCACAUAUGAGCUGUUGCUCUAAAAACCAAGGGAAAGGGGAAAAUAAAUAUAUCUCUCUCUACAAACCAGGGCACAGAAAAAAGGUUCUCCAAGUGCCUUACCGUAGAGGUCCAAGAAGGAUGGGUUGCUAUGAAUUCUAUUGCUGAGAAAGGCAGCGCCUUACCGUAGAGGUCCAAGAAGGAUGGGUUUACUAUGAAUUCAGAAUUACUGCUGCGGAAGACAAGGUCCUUUUUUGAAGAAACUGAGCAUGACAAUGUCCUAUGUCAGUCCAAAAAAAUUGUUAAGGAUAUCUUGUGUUUUACUUGCUUCUUAAUUUGUAGCAGUCCAUAAUGCAUGACUUGAUGAUUAUCAGCAAUAGAAAUUUGGUUUUAUGC